AAUAAUGCAUAAUGAUACAGGUCUGGAUCUUCAAGUUUCUCUUGACCUGGGAAAGGCUGUUGGGACCAAUUCAGAGAAUAGUAUUCAGUUGUCAGGCGCAAAGGAAGGCAAUGAAGGCCUUUAGGAAGUGUUUUGGCUGUUAACUGUGUUAGAAACAGGCCUUGUUUCUUGUGCACUCGUAACUGCUCUUCAGUUGAGUGAAGCAUAGCUCGUAGUUUCUUUACUACGGUAGAACAGUCAUCCUGAGCUUGUUUCCCUUUUGCCAAGGUUAGCUC
rnacentral:lncRNA from 1 species